rnacentral:tRNA from 1 species
GGGGACGUAGCUCAAUUGGUCAGAGUACCGGACUGUCGAUCCGGGUGUUGCGGGUUCAAGUCCCGUCGUCCCCGCCA